rnacentral:rRNA from 1 species
CAAGAGCGUAUAUUAAAGUUGCUGCGGUUAAAAAGCUCGUAGUUGGAUUUCAGUCUAGGAAGGUUAACUCGCCGAAAGGUUGUACGUUGAUUUUCCUCAGACUUCGUCAGAAGCUCGUGCUGCACUUAACUGUGUGGUACGAUGUUCUGACCUUUUACCUUGAGGAAAGUAGAGUGUUUCAGGCAGGCUACCCAGCUUGAAUACAUUAGCAUGGAAUAAUGAAAUGGAUCUCGGUUCGAUUUCGUUGGUUCUAGAGCUGAGGUGAUGAUCAAUAGGAACAGGCGAAGGUAUUCGUACUUGAGAGUGAGGAGUGAAAUCCGAUGAUCUCUUAAAGACGAUCCGAGGCGAAAGCAUUUGGCAAGGAUGUUUUCAUUGA